AAAACGACUCUCGGCAACGGAUAUCUCGGCUCUCGCAUCGAUGAAGAACGUAGCGAAAUGCGAUACUUGGUGUGAAUUGCAGAAUCCCGUGAACCAUCGAGUCUUUGAACGCAAGUUGCGCCCGAAGCCAUUAGGCCGAGGGAACGCCUGCCUGGGCGUCACAC
rnacentral:rRNA from 1 species